rnacentral:rRNA from 1 species
AGUGAACGCUGGCGGUAGGCCUAACACAUGCAAGUCGAACGGCAGCACAGUAAGAGCUUGCUCUUACGGGUGGCGAGUGGCGGACGGGUGAGGAAUACAUCGGAAUCUACUUUUUCGUGGGGGGUAACGUAGGGAAACUUACGCUAAUACCGCAUACGACCUACGGGUGAAAGCAGGGGAUCUUCGGACCUUGCGCGAUUGAAUGAGCCGAUGUCGGAUUAGCUAGUUGGCGGGGUAAAGGCCCACCAAGGCGACGAUCCGUAGCUGGUCUGAGAGGAUGAUCAGCCACACUGGAACUGAGACACGGUCCAGGCUCCUACGGGAGGCAGCAGUGGGGAAUAUUGGACAAUGGGCGCAAGCCUGAUCCAGCCAUACCGCGUGGGUGAAGAAGGCCUUCGGGUUGUAAAGCCCUUUUGUUGGGAAAGAAAAGCAGCAGGUUAAUACCCCGCUGUUCUGACGGUACCCAAAGAAUAAGCACCGGCUAACUUCGUG